ensembl:lncRNA AFDN-DT AFDN divergent transcript
GGUGCUGCUGCCGCGGCCGCCAGGGAGGGAGGUGUCGGAGGGCGGGCCCCGCGCGGUGCUAGGGUUCCGUCUGGACUGGCGGUGAAAACGCCUCUUCUCUCAGACACAUCGUUAUCUGCCAAUUCUUCGCAGACGUAGAGAACGGACUGCAGAGUUAAUAAACGUCGAGGGGAAGCUUUGAUGCGCCCCAUUUGGCCCUGAGAGAUGCCACGUGAUCGUCAUUUUAAAUCCUUUCCUGGGCUUCCCGAUGGACUCGAGUUUUUACUAUGUGAGCAUCCCGGUGCCUGCACAGCAAGGACUCUCAUUGGGUUCCACACGUGCUGCGCAGAUCCCUGACGCAGCGUUCACUGAACCUCAACUGCAGGAGCUUCAUUCCUGAGGACGCUGUUACCAAGAAUGACUUGCCUCUUGAAGAAUGAGUUUGCAAAGCCGGCAGUUAGAUUGCUGAUGUCCAAAGACAUGAAAAUUUCCAGGCUGACAAAUAAUUUCGCUGUCAUCGGUCAAGACUCCAGGAUGAUAUUCUGAGCCAUAUGUUAAUUUUGAUAACCACCUAGAACAAUAAAAGGUAAACAUGCUA